GAUGAACGCUAGCUACAGGCUUAACACAUGCAAGUCGCGGGACCGGCGCAUGGGUGAGUAACGCGUAUCCAACCUGCCCUUCACCCCGGGAUAACCCGGCGAAAGUCGGACUAAUACCGUGUGGUGAAGGAUGGGGUGCGUCGGAUUAGCUUGAAGGCGGGGUAACGGCCCACCGUGGCUAAGAUCGGUAGGGGUUCGGCGAGGAAGGUCCCCCACACUGGAACUGAGACACGGUCCCGACUCCUACGCGAGGGAGCGGUGAGGAAGAUUGGUCAAUGGGCGUAAGCCUGAACCAGCCAAGUAGCGUGCAGGGCGACGGCCUAUGGGUUGUAAACUGCUUUUAUGCGGGGAUAGUUACCGCAUGAAUAAGGACCGGCUAAUUCCGUGCCAGCCGCCGCGGUAAUAC
rnacentral:rRNA from 1 species